CUGGCUGCGUGAUAAAUGCGGGAGUGCGGCCACCUAGCUCACAGCUGCUGCGGCUGCAGGAGCGAGCAGAAACUCUGAGCGCACAACUAAAGCUGGAAGAAGCAGAAAACAGACGAGACGCUUUGAUUGACUGGCGGUUUGAUGCGGUGAUUGGCUGCUUUCAUCCGCGAUAAUUAGGAAACAAACACAGAAUAAACCGGUUUUAUCAGCGUGUGAAAGGAGGGAAGAAGAUUUAGAGCAACAGUUUAGUCUGAGUUUCAUCCUUGAGUCGCAGCAGAACGAACAGUUACAGCCUGACGCCGUAUCUCCGUCUGAGCGGGUCAAACAACAACCAGCUUCACCUGGCGUGACGUCCAGAACCGGACCGGUUCCACUCAGACGCUCCAAACUUCAACUCUGAGAAAAUAUCCUGAAAUUAAGACCAUUUGUUUCCAGCCUUAUGAUAUUAUAAAAUCAGAUAAAUUUUAACAGAAGUGUAGAAAAGUAUUUCUCUUGUCUUUAUGUUUCCACGUUUCUCUUCAUGUUGUUCAGAAAGAAUAAAUACAAUUCCUCGUUUGUUGGUUUUAAAAACUUUUUAAGCCUUAAUUACAUUUUUGUUUUGAUUGUUUUUGUUGUCUAAAUGCAGAAAGGUUGAAUUUAGCCUCUCCUGUUGCUCCUGUUUAUCUCAUUUUUUCAAUUUGUUUUAUUUCUUUGCUUCUAUUAUGUUUAUCAACUUCCAGGUGCGUCUCUAGGCUUUAAGGACCAGGGGGCCUUAGCCCACAGGAUGUUAGCAAAUGUAGCAAGAAACCACAAAAUCUUUCAAACAUCAACAAAACAAACAAAUUCCACCUUUAAAAUAGAAAUAACUUCCACCGCAGAAACAGUUAAUGAACAACGUCACCUUCCUAAAAUAAUAAUCUGUUUUGCUAAAAUACGAUUUAGGUAAAAAAAUAAAAAAUAAAAUCAUGAUAAGACAAACAAUGACCAGCUGAGCUAAAAUAUGGUUAAUUUAAUUAAUUUCAAUAAAAUUAAUUAAAUAAACCUGCUAAACUAAACUUAGGCUAAGAUAGUUAAUAUAAUCUAUGAUUAGAGAAGCUAAGGUAUAUUAAAACUACUGAAGCUAACUAUAAGACAAAUUAUAGCUAAGCUAAGGUAUGCACAACUAAAGCAGAAUGAGCUAUUUAUGAUUUGCUAAACUAAAAUACAUUUAGAUAAGUUGAGGCAAACUGUGAUUAGCUAAGCUAGUUUAGGUUCAUGCAAAAUCUAGAAAAGCUGCAUAUGAUAAAACAAACUAUGACUAUAGGCUAAGUACAAUAAUGCAAACUAUAACUAACUAAGCUAAUUUAUGCUUCACUUUAAUAAAAUGAGAAAAUCACGAUUAGCUAAAUUAUUUUAUGAAAAUGAUGAUAUAAUGAAAAGAUUUCCCAGCAAACAUGAUUAUAAUUUUCUUUGACUUCCCACUUUGUGUAAAGUUUCAUGUUUGUAUCAUUUUCUGAGUAAUUCCAGUCAUAUUUCACAAAAUCACAGAAUAUUAUAUAAAAUAAAGAUAAACUGACAGAUUUAUAAUAUUUUAAUUAAAAAUAAUAGUUUAUAUGAUUUAAAAAAAAAGAACUUGAGUGUUGAUGUGACAUCCUAGCUGUUGUUUUUCUAGCAGUAGCAUCGUGCUUUCUGCUAAUAUUAGCGCUGUGUGCUAACUGUUAGCUCCUUCAAUAUAUAAUCAUUCUGCGUAUUUUCAAUACUAUUGAUACAUAAACAGCUUGGUAUUGUUUAAUAAUUUUUAUCUUUGGGAACAAAUUAACCAAAUACAUUCAGAGACGUUCUUGGUGCUAGCAUUAGCUAACUUGCUAACAGAGUUGAGGCUUUUUUUUACAAGACAUGUUUGUUUGUGUUUUGGUAGCAUUUUCUGCCUCCAACAUGAAAAAAACAUUUUUAAUCAAUUUGGGAAUAAAAAGUUUAGAUGAUUGAAAUGUGAAAAGAAAAAAUGUAAAAGCAAGACAAGUCAACUUUAAGCGAAGCUAACGAGCUAAUUUUAAAGAUGAUGAGAAGCUAGGAAAGCUAAAUAACAAGACAGGCUAGUAUAAGACAGUCCAGGUUAGGACAAAGCUUAGACAUUUCUAAAGUCUCAUUUUGUUUUGCUAGACGGCGCAGGAACCCGAACCACGCUGGUUUGUUUUGAAGCGUUACAAGCUUGACCGCAACUGAGACGUAGCUGGAAACUCAGAACGUGUGGUGAAAGUUUUUAGCACCGAUUCAGACCAGCUUUCUUCCUGCUCUGAAUCAGUGCUAAUAAAAACACACACAUUUAAACACAAAAGCCCUGCAGGAAAGCUGUGCAAGCAAACACACACACACACACACACAAACACACAUCCCCUCUGUGCUCCAAACAGCGUGUUUUUGCCAAACACCUGUGUAAUCGUCCAGCUGUGGGGAAUGGUGGGAAGUGAGGAGGGAGAACUGGAUACCACACAGCUAAUAGCUAACAGCUAACAGCUAAUGCUAUUAGUUGCAUGUACACAGCAAAGCUUUUGUUGUCAAUGUUUGGUUCUCAAAUGUGACUUUAAUGGAUUAAACUGUUCAUUUAUUCUGCUGUUAUAUCAACCAACAGCAGAACGUCUUAGUGGGUUUUUAUUAGCAGAAACUUGAAACAAACCAACAAAACAUCAAUAAAACGGUGAAGGUGCCAUUUUAAGACUUCACUGUUAGUUCCAGAUUUAAUUUUAAAAUAAUAAAAACAUUUAAAGCUUUAGACAAACCACAGCUAGCUAAGCUAAAAUAUGCUUAAUUUAAAUAAAAUACAUAAUAAACUAAACUUAGAUAGGCUAAGAUAUAUGAUAUAAACUAUGAUUAGCUAAAUUAAGGUAUGCUAAACCUACAGAAGAUAUUUAUGAUAAGACAAACUAUAACUAAAGUAAUGUAUGCUUCAUGUGAAGAGAAUGAGCUAACUAUGAUUAGCUAACUAAGCCAGCUAAGAUAGCUAAGGGAAGCUAAGCUAAGAUUAUCUAAAGAAAUGAUUAGCUAGGGUAAGCUAAGCUAAUACAUGACUAUAAACUGAUGUUUACCUGAAAAUGUAAAGGUGUGUUUAUGUUUUCUCACUUUUAGACCAAAUUUCUAUUAUAUUAAAAGUUUUAAAUAAACUGAAAUUGUCAGUUUAAACGUUUUCUGUGGAAAAUAUUCUGUUUUAUUGGUGUAAAAUUUGAAAAUGAUUAUUUCUAAUUUCUCACUUCACAUUAUUUAGGCUAAUUGUGAGGUACAUAUUAGAUUUUUUUUCCAUGAUUUUGUCCUCUUUGAGGCUGAUGUGUUAGCAUGCAGCUAGCUGAACCUCCACCUGAUGGCUCAGGUGGACGUGACGAUAACUAGCAGCUAAAAACACAGAGCUUCUCUCCAUGAGGUGCUUUAACUCGUCCUCUCUGGGAGUUUUUUGGUUUUUCCUGACAGCAGAAGCAGGCAGAUGGAGGGCGGCAGCAGUUUACACAGGUGUCUCCAGUUUGUAUUUACUGUAAAUGUGUUCGCCAGAAGGUGACGAGUUUGAAGGAGGGAGCUGAGGUUAAGUUCAGGUCAGUUUCUGUAAAACUCUCCAAACAUCUCACAUUUAUACAGAAACAGAAAACAUUAAAGAGAAAAACAUUUUUCUGACUACAUUUUAUACAUUUCUACAGUAAAUUCAUGAUUUACGUUAUUAAACUAUGUCGUUCUUUCUUCAUAAAUAUUUAAUUAGGUGUCUGGCAGAACUUGGAAAUAGAUUCAAGAGCGAAAUCGUUUUAUAACGAGAUGCAAAUCGUGUGAAAAUGAGAAAUUUAUUAAAAUGAGAAACCUCAGUUAGUGAGACUAGUUUUUAUCUUGUAAUAAAAUUUCUCAUUAAGACGAGAAAACUUUCAUUUAAUGUGAAACACAAAAUAAGCUACAAUGAGAACUUUCUCAUUAAAAUGUCUCAUUAUAAUGAGAAACUAUAAAAAACUCAUAAAAUAAAAGGUUCCUCAUUAAAACAAGAACAUUUCAUGAAACUUUCUCGUUUUGUGACAAGAAAGUUUCUCAUUAACACGAGAAAAUAACAAGAAUUUUCUCUUUUUAAUGAGAAACCAAUUUAACUAGAUGAGUUUAAUAUCCUGCAGAUGUAAAAGUUAUUAAAAAAUGUAAAAUUACGAUUCAUUAAAGACGCAUAAAGCAGAUCAAAAUGAAGCAAAUUUUCUCUCCAUUUCUUCCAGACGACGUCUAAAAAGCUGUUUUACAAUUUUUCUUAUUCAUUUGGUUCAAAUUAAAACAAUUUCAUUUUAACCUUUAAUCUGGCACUGAAAGACUUCCGUACACCAGAAACAGUCCAGAGCCCCAAAAACUUCCUAAAAAUACAAACAACAAAACAAAACAUGUUUAUUUUCACCAGCAGCUGAUUUAUGGAUUCAGACGCAGAUUCUGCUGACGGAGGAGCGACUGAGCGCCGCCGAGCUAACGCAACGCCGCCAAGCUAACUCAAUGCUGCCGAGCUAACGCAACGCGGCAAGCUAAUGCAACGCCGCCGAGCUAACGCAACGCCGCCGAGCUAACGCAACGCGGCAAGCUAAUGCAACGCCGCCGAGCUAAUGCAACGCCGCCGAGCUAACGCAACGCGCCGAGCUAACGCAACGCCGCCGAGCUAACGCAACGCGCCGAGCUAACGCAACGCCGCCGAGCUAACGCAACGCCGCCGAGCUAACGCAACGCCGCCGAGCUAACGCAACGCGCCGAGCUAACGCAACGCCGCCGAGCUAACGCAACGCUGCCGAGCUAACGCAACGCGCCGAGCUAACGCAACGCCGCCGAGCUAACUCAACGCCGCCGAGCUAACACAACGCCGUGUGUCGAAGUGUGUGUCAUCGUGUGUGUCGUUGUGUGUGUCGUUGUGUGUGUCGCCAUGUGUGUUUGGAGGCUGAAAGCAACGCUGCUCAGUCAGCAAACAGAAAGCAGGAAGAGAGGCAAACGCCGCUGCAAGGCAUUCUGGGAGGAUAAGAAGCGGUCGAUGCUGAAUCCUCCUGAAAUGGAGGCGGCAGUGUUUGGUUUAGUUUGGUUUCGCCGGCCUUCGUGGUUCCUGAGUGUUUAUUUGGAGCUGCGGCGGCUCAGAUGCCACUUAAAACGAUCAGAACCACUUCAGAGGAAACGCUGAGCUGCAGCCGGGACAAAACGUCAUGGCAACGCAGGUCAAAACCAAAACCUGGAACAGACUCAGGAGCCGAUUUACUGAGAAUCACCAGAGAUUUACAAACAUGAAGUUUUCAUGAUUUACUAGUUAUGAUGCUUGUUUGGUAUAAUUCACUGCUUCAGAUCAUCAAACUGAUUUAAACAUUAACUAGUAAAAAUAGAUUUACUUACUAAAAGCAUCGACUGAUGGACUAAAAUAAAACGUUAUGUGGGAAUUUUGGUAUUUUAAGGAUCAAAAUGAAAAUAAUUUAUAUAAAAGAUAAUUCCAGAUCAGUUUCUUUCAGUAUAAACUAACAAAAACUACAAGUGUGUCUAAAUUUGGUGAAUAUUUGGUUAAAAUAAGUUUUUAUUCAUCUAAGUUACUAAGAAAAUAUGGAAACUUUACUCAGGAGUAAAAUAGUAUUUGGUAAAAAGAAAUACUAAAGCUCUGAUGACAACAUGAAUUAUUAAGGUAAAAAUGACAUCAUGUAAAAUGUCUGACUGUAGAAAACAUUUAGAAAAAGUUAUUUUAGGUCAGUUCUUAUUUUCUGUAAAUAUAAACGCGGUUUUGAACAGUUUUAUUAAAUUGUGGUUAAAUAUAUUCCAGUUUUGUUUUUAGGUUUAUUGUUUUCAUUUUUUCCUUUUUUCUUACAUUUUUUGCAUCAGAGGUUUUGCAGGGUUUGUUUGUUGCUCCAGUUUAAUCAAUGAAAACAGAAACAUUGUUAAUACAAUAAAAUACUUUGUCUUGUAUCUAAAUAAAUAAAUGUCUAUUUUGUUUGUGAAAAUUUCCAUUCUUGAACUAUGGACAAAGGGGCCAAACAAAAUGGUCCAGAGGGCCACACAUGGCCCCCGGGCCACACAUUGGGCAUCCCUGCCUUACUACAUAAUCAAAAUAUUUAGAAUAAUAUUUAAAUUGACUGUUUUCACUUUCCUUAUGAUUUAAAUAAAUCUUGUUCUGCAUAUUAAUUGUAAUAUUUUUACUGUUUUCUAUCAACCUGCUAGAAAAUUAGCUGCUAAAUCUGCAUAUUUACCUGGUACAUUCAUGCUGAUUAAUAAGCAUUUUCCUCUUUAUGAAAAAUAAAAUCUUUAAAUCUGAA